rnacentral:sRNA from 1 species
AUAAAUACUUAAUUAUAGAUUAAUUUGGCUUUUAUUUCUGGAUGCCUAUUAUAUAUAAUGUCAUGGUAGCCUUUCUUAUAUAUGUACUAUGUACAUAUAUAGUAAAGGGCCAGAACAAACAACUAAUUUUCUUCAUUGUUUAACCAUCUUGGUAUUAAAGGGAUAUUAAGUUAGAGCUAAGGGAAUAGUGUUGG